rnacentral:RNase_P_RNA from 1 species
UAAGUAGAUUGCCUUAUCGCUCAUAUGCUGAAUUUACUUUAGUAUAAGGGAGGAAAGUCCGAACACCAAAGUGCAACAUAGUGGCUAAUAACCACCAGUCGUGAGACUAGGAAAAGUGCAACAGAAAGUAUGUACAGGUCAUGCUGUAGUGAAAUCAGGUAAACUCUAUGUGGUGCAAUGCCAUGUAAACCAGUGUUUGAGGGCUGCACGCUCGAUGCUGGAGGGUAGGCAGCUAAAGUGUACUGGUAACAAUACACUCAGAUAAAUGAUAAGGAUUUUUUGUAUUUGUUUUGGAGGAUUCUGAAACAAGUUCAGGGAAAACAGAAUUCGGCUUAUAGAUUUACUUUGUUA